GUGUAUAUCGAUAUCAAGUUGAAAACACCGGUUCUCGUCCGUUCACCGAAGUUAAGCAACGUCAAUGAAGCUAUUUACCACAAUUAACAAAGGAAGAUUACUUAUACUCA
rnacentral:rRNA from 1 species